rnacentral:rRNA from 1 species
GACGAACGCUGGCGGCGUGCUUAACACAUGCAAGUCGUACGGUAAGGCCCUUUCGGGGGUACACGAGUGGCGAACGGGUGAGUAACACGUGAGUAACCUGCCCACAACUUUGGGAUAACGCUAGGAAACUGGUGCUAAUACUGGAUAUGUGCUCCUGCUGCAUGGUGGGGGUUGGAAAGCUCCGGCGGUUGUGGAUGGACUCGCGGCCUAUCAGCUUGUUGGUGGGGUAGUGGCCUACCAAGGCGGCGACGGGUAGCCGGCCUGAGAGGGUGACAGGCCACAUUGGGACUGAGAUACGGCCCAGACUCCUACGGGAGGCAGCAGUGGGGAAUAUUGCACAAUGGGCGCAAGCCUGAUGCAGCAACGCCGCGUGCGGGAUGACGGCCUUCGGGUUGUAAACCGCUUUCAGCAGGGACGAAGCUUUUUGUGACGGUACCUGCAGAAGAAGCACCGGCUAACUACGUG